AAAUUUUUUUAAAAUAUACGUUUUAAAUUUUUUCCAAUUAUAUAAAUAACCAAAAUUUUUGCGCAAAUUAUUAAAUAAAUAUUAAUUUUCGCGGUUGCGAUUCCGAUUAUACCGUCGCGGAAAUUUUAUUAAAUUUGCGGAAAAUUAAUUACGAAAUAAACGCGAUCGUUUACAAAAAAUUUAUAAUAUAUUUUGGUAUUUUUAUUUUGGCAAAUAAUAAUAAAAAUAAUAAUUAUAAACCGAAAAUUGGAAAAAUUAAUUGGUUAAUAAAAAAUCGCGGUUAAAAAAAAAUUUGUUCCGUUUAUAUUAUUUCGCAUUUGCGGUAUUUAUAACGGUAAUUCCAACAUUUCGAUUUGCCGUUUUUGGCCAAAUCCUUUUCGUAAUUAUAAUAGACCGGAUUAUUAUAAUUUUUAUUUUUUAUAACGGAAAUAAUAUAAAACCAAUAAUAAUUUUCGGAAACGCGUUUUGCAACGCGUUUUGCCGCGUUAAAACCGACGUGAAUAAAUUAAUAACCGAUUUGGUUAAUUUCGCGCCGAUUUAAUUAAAAAUAAAAUUCAAUUUUACAAUUUAACGUUUAAAUUUAAAAACGGCCUCCCGUUAUUUUUUUUUUCGCGAACGGUAACGCGGCGGUUUUUUCGUUUUUUCCAUUUAUUGCGUUAACGGGUCGAUAUUCCCGUAAAAACAUUUGCAAAAAAUUUUUUUAAAAAGGAAUUAAUACAAAUUUAAUUUAAAAUUAAAAAAUUAAUUUAUUUUAUAAUAUUCGUCCAAAAAAUCCCAAUUUUUAGGGGUUUUUUUUUUCGGUUAAAAAUUUUCAAUUUGGCCUAAUUUUCGGGGGAAAAUACGGAAUUUCCAAAAUCGUCGUCGCCAUUAUAUUAAAACGAACCAUUUUAAAUAAAAUCGGUUAUAAUUUUUAAUAUUUGCGGCGAAAAAAUUUAAAAAACGGUGCGAUAUUAGACGUUAAAACCAAAAUUAUUUAAACGAAUUAAAUUAAAACGAAUUUAAUUGCGAUAUUAAUUUGCGCAUUGCAAAUACCAAAAUUACGGUGCGAUUGGAAAAAUCGCGCCGCGAUAAUACCAAAUCGCCCGAAAUAUUAAAAAAAAAAAAAAUUUACAAAACGAAAAUUAUAUCGGCAAUAAUUAAAAAACGUAACCAAACGGUUGCAAAUUUUUAAAAUUAUAUUUUUUUACGUUUUUUAAACCCAUUUUUUUUUAUUAAUUUAAUUUUAUUUUAUUUUCAAUUUAUUUUAUUUCCGGCGGUGGUCCGAACGGUCGGAUUCGGUAUUUAUAAACCGGAUCGGGGAUAUAUUGCGUAUUAAACCACCGCAAUUAAUUAUAAAAACGUACAUUUUAAUUUUAAACAAAAUAAUUAAUUAUAUUAAAUUUAAAUUGGGUUAAAUGCAAUUAAAUUAUUAAUAACGGUUUUGGUUCCGCGUUUUGUUAAAUACCUAACAUUUAUUUAUUUAA
rnacentral:sRNA from 1 species